UCAUUUCUCUCCAUUUCAGAUAGAGACAAGUUUAUGCAGUGGCCAAUUUUUAUUUCGUCCCAAAGAACUCUCUUAGAAUUGGACAUCCCCAGGAACCAUUCCCUCCAGCUAGGGGUCUCAUUCGGCCAAGACCUAAAUGUGCCUGUCCAGUUGUUCAGAUCCAUGGAUGAUUGCUUGAAGGGAUUCUGUGAGUUUCCAGAUUAAUCAGCUCAAUGGGAUCUGGAUUUCCUAUGGGGCCAAGUCCG
rnacentral:lncRNA from 1 species